rnacentral:tRNA from 2 species
GGCUCUGUAGCUCAGUUGGUUAGAGCGUUCGGUUCAUACCCGAAAGGUCAAGAGUUCGAAUCUCUUCGGAGCCA